rnacentral:rRNA from 1 species
UACGGGGGGGGCAAGCGUUGUUCGGAAUUACUGGGCGUAAAGGGCUCGUAGGCGGCCCUCUCAGUCGGAUGUGAAAUCCCCAGGCUUAACCUGGGAACGGCAUCCGAUACUGGAGGGCUUGAAUUCGGGAGAGGGAUGCAGAAUUCCAGGUGUAGCGGUGAAAUGCGUAGAUAUCUGGAGGAAUACCGGUGGCGAAGGCGGCUUCCUGGACCGACACUGACGCUGAGGCGCGAAAGCUAGGGGAGCAAACGGG